GACGAACGCUGGCGGCGUGCUUAACACAUGCAAGUCGAACGGAAAGGCCCUGCUUGCAGGGUACUCGAGUGGCGAACGGGUGAGUAACACGUGGGUGAUCUGCCCUGCACUUCGGGAUAAGCCUGGUAAACUGGGUCUAAUACCGGAUAGGAGCCAUUUUUAUUGUGAUGGUUGGAAAGUUUUUUCGGUGUAGGAUGAGCUCGCGGCCUAUCAGCUUGUUGGUGGGGUAAUGGCCUACCAAGGCGGCGACGGGUAGCCGGCCUGAGAGGGUGGACGGCCACAUUGGGACUGAGAUACGGCCCAGACUCCUACGGGAGGCAGCAGUGGGGAAUAUUGCACAAUGGGCGCAAGCCUGAUGCAGCGACGCCGCGUGGGGGAUGACGGCCUUCGGGUUGUAAACUCCUUUCGCUAGGGACGAAGCUUUUUGUGACGGUACCUAGAUAAGAAGCACCGGCUAACUACGUG
rnacentral:rRNA from 1 species